CUACGGAGGGUGCAAGCGUUAAUCGGAAUUACUGGGCGUAAAGCGUACGUAGGCGGUCCGUUAAGUUAGAUGUGAAAGCCCCGGGCUUAACCUGGGAACUGCAUUUAAAACUGGCGAACUAGAGUUGAGUAGAGGGGAGUGGAAUUUCAGGUGUAGCGGUGAAAUGCGUAGAGAUCUGAAGGAACACCAGUGGCGAAGGCGACUCCCUGGACUCGAACUGACGCUGAGGUACGAAAGCGUGGGUAGCAAACGGGAUUAGAAACCCUAGUAGUCC
rnacentral:rRNA from 1 species